CAAUGUCACAGAAAAACAUAUUUUCAAAAGUGUUCGCCAUGAUUGUCUAUUUAGCUACAGGUUUAAUUGUUGUGCUAUUAACAAUUCAUUCACAUCCGACAAUAAUCAUUCGUACAAUGUAUGGACAUGUUUCAACAAUUUAUCAAAGGCAGAAUGAUGGCUUCGUGUUGACAUAGCUAUGUUCGUCGCUUAUAUAUUCAUAUGGUUGAAUAUGGGGAUGAAUUUUAACGAUGUUUUUAAAAUGUAAACAUCUGUAGAUUUUUCUUUCCGUGUACUAAAACCACAACUUCGCAAGACAUGUUCCAACUGAAAGGUUAAUAUGCUUCAAUAAAUGUGUCGAUUCAAUCGUUGUGACAUAAAACAAAACGAUAUUUAACAAACGCUGAAGAUUGUUAUCAUGGGUAUAAUUAUUAUAAGAAAGGGAAAAGUAAACUGUGUACCCAAUAAAAAAACACAUUUGAAAAUUAUCUGAUAAACAAACUACAAAGAGGAGCCGUCAUUUCCGCGAAUAUUACAAGGAAGACGGGGUAAGGAGGAAACACUGUGUCACGAUAUCAAUGGAUCACGAUAGAUAAUCUACCAGUAAAACAUGCACGAGGAUAAUCUUAAAAUUAAUUACCGGAAACGGAUAACUAGCGGAAGAAAAACAGGUAUAUGACAGCGGCCUGUAUAUAUUCGAGACCAAGCAGUGAUUGAUAUCAUGAGCAACAAACUAACGCCGCCAGUGUAUGAUGACAGGCAACAACCAGUUCACCACAUUUGACCACCUGAUCCAUUAAGUCAUCUCGUACAACCAACAUAAUGGAGACCCAUUCUAACCAGGAAUACAACUGAAUACAAGGGUGAACCGUUGACUUGGCUUUGCAUGUGUUUGUGACCGGUGCCACGCUUCAAGGUCAUAGCUAUGACAUAUUGAAG